UGCCAUGAUUUCUGGACUGUUCCAGCUAGGAAGUGCCUAUGAGUGGGUGGUGACAAAGAAGACAGGGAGAUCCUCAGAGUCAGAUUUGUUAGCAUUGGCUGAGAGAGAAUCAAAAUCUGCAAAUGAAGAAAAGAUUCUCAGAAGACACUCAGAAUCUGGCUUGGAACUAUUAGGCAAACUGAAGCAAUCAGAAAUCCCUUCAAAGAAAAAAAGAAACAGACUCUACAGGAAAGAGCUUGCACUUGCACUUCUUUUGCUCACAGCAUCUGCAAGAAGCCUUUUGUCAGCACAUGGUGUUCAUUUCUACUUUUUGCUCUUCCAAGGAUUGUCAUUU
rnacentral:lncRNA from 1 species